UGCAAGUCGAGCGCCGUAGCAAUACGGAGCGGCAGACGGGAGAGUAACACGUGGGAACGUACCCUUUUUCGGAACAACCCAGGGAAACUUGGGCUAAUACCGGAUAAGCCCUUACGGGGAAAGAUUCAUCGCCGAAGGAUCGGCCCGCGUCUGAUUAGCUAGUUGGUGGGGUAAUGGCCCACCAAGGCGACGAUCAGUAGCUGGUCUGAGAGGAUGAUCAGCCUCACUGGGACUGAGACACGGCCCAGACUCCUACGGGAGGCAGCAGUGGGGAAUAUUGGACAAUGGGCGCAAGCCUGAUCCAGCCAUGCCGCGUGGGUGAUGAAGGCCCUAGGGUUGUAAAGCCCUUUCGGCGGGGAAGAUAAUGACGGUACCCGCAGAAGAAGCCCCGGCUAACUUCGUGCCAGCAGCCGCGGUAAUACGAAGGGGGCUAGCGUUGCUCGGAAUCACUGGGCGUAAAGCGCACGUAGGCGGAUUGUUAAGUCAGGGGUGAAAUCCUG
rnacentral:rRNA from 1 species